CGGCGAGGGGUCCGUUUGGGGGUCCGUUUGGUCCGUUCCGGUGCCCGGUUCAGGAAGGGCGGCUGCAUUGCCCAGAAAGGUUGGCGCGUGGGGAGGACGGCUACUGGAAAUGUUUUCGUUCGCGUGCUGGGUGCAUCGAGGCCAUUCUGCGCAGCACACCGCGCUACGGUGUCUUCCGCAACAAAACUGAAUAGGUACCAGGAAAAUGGUGUCGGCGGGAGAGACUGCGACGACGACAGGAAGCACCGCUCUGACAACGGCGGUAGCGACGGCGCAUAGCAUCCGUUGAAUGGUUUAGUAAUUAUCUCAUCGGUCAUGAUAGCAGAAAAGUGUAUGUUUUGUGCAAUGGUGCUUUUGCCGAGACAAUUUUGGUCAAAUACAUGGCGAACAAACCCUGA